UUAUUCUCUUCCCACUCACUCUUUUUUCUUGCUGGAAUUGAUGAAAAAUAUGGACAGCAAUUAAUAUUUGUAAAGAGGAUGGGAGGCAAAUUCGACAUCUGAAAGAUUUAGCCAGGUUAUUCUCUUUCCACUCCCUCUUUUUUCUUGCUGGAAUUGAUGAAAAGAUGGAUAACAAUUGAUAGUUGUAGAGAGGCAAAUUCGACAUCUGAAAGUUAUACCACAACAAACUCCAUGUUUGACGGUUUAGAUCUGAUAUGGUAUUUUCUAGUAAUGUCUGGCUCCUAAGUAAAUUUCAGAAUGUUUGAAGAUCCAACAAGAUUAAUGUCAUUGCCAGAAUUUGCCUCAAAUGCAAUUCUCUUAUGGUGAGUGCAUGUGAGUGGUUACUGCAACAGUACGAUGAAAGAAGCCGGUCAUUUUGUAAGUGGGUUUGUUAACUAUAAAUGGUGGGUCUUCUCUUUUCAUUUGUAACCUUACACGUACUAUAUUGGUUUGAUUGACUUAUUAGGGAUUCAAAUCCUUAGAAAAGCUCCCAAAACCAGACAUGAAAAGAAUUUAUUUUUAUUACAAGUAGGACACUAACAAAUUCUUGGUUUGGAAGGUGGUUAAGGCUCUCAUUCCCCUAAUGAAUGCUAGUUAUUUCUCCUACCUCUCUUAUGAGAGAAACUUUUUAA